CUACGAAGAAGACCGCGGCAAAAUGUGUUAACGCCGAAUUUGUGGUCUUUAGUUGGAUUUAGUUAGCGUCAUGGAGGAAAGGGGUUUUAUCUCACUUUCUUGUCAAAGCACACAAUUUAUGUCACGACAAUGAAAAAAGAAAGAAAAAUAUAUUUAUUGCGCGUUCAAGUGAACUAUAAAAACAGGACGUUAUUUGAGGAUGUCAACGAUAUAGUUGGUGGGAGCGGACUCCCCACAUUAUAUCCUGGUAGUGCUGACUAAUAAAGAGCUGAGACCAGUGAACAAUGAUGAGGAAGACUGAGCUGAAAUAACUUCACCUGGACCCAAAUAAGAUACUAUAUAAUUUCUAAAGAACCCCAGUUGGGGUGUGCAUGAAGAAGAAGGUGGGCACCUUGAUAGGAUGACAGUCACUAUAAGAGGAGAGAGAGAGAGUAAAUUUGCGGUGUGGACGCAUGCCAUUUUUUUCCCAUGAUGAUACAGGGCAGGUGACUUAGCUGUUGCCUGAUCCUUUAUGAAGAGAAAUACAGACUAAGGGAAGACACGCCAGAGGUGGCACAUCUCCAGCCUACUUGAGGACACACGGUCAUGUGAAAGAAUGUCUGGCAGCAUACUGUUCCAUAGACAAUACAGGCAGCAGAGACAUCCACUUGAAGACCUGUGCUCAUAUUUAUCAAAUGUCUUAGAAUUGAAAAUUAUGAAGGGAAUUAGUUUGUUGGUUCGAUACUGUUACUUUAAAAUGAGUUCA